rnacentral:rRNA from 1 species
GAUGAACGCUGGCGGCGUGCCUAAUACAUGCAAGUCGAGCGAACAGACGAGGAGCUUGCUCCUCUGACGUUAGCGGCGGACGGGUGAGUAACACGUGGAUAACCUACCUAUAAGACUGGGAUAACUUCGGGAAACCGGAGCUAAUACCGGAUAAUAUAUUGAACCGCAUGGUUCAAUAGUGAAAGACGGUUUUGCUGUCACUUAUAGAUGGAUCCGCGCCGCAUUAGCUAGUUGGUAAGGUAACGGCUUACCAAGGCAACGAUGCGUAGCCGACCUGAGAGGGUGAUCGGCCACACUGAAACUGAGACACGGUCCAGACUCCAACGGGAGGCAGCAGUAGGGAAUUUUCCGCAAUGGGCGAAAGCCGGACGGAGCAACGCCGCGUGAGUGAUGAAGGUCUUCGGAUCGUAAACCUCUGUUAUUAGGGAAGAACAAAUGUGAAAGUAACUAUGCACGUCUUGACGGUACCAAAUCAAAAAGCCACGGCUAACUACGU